GGCUUCGUGGUCGAGUGGUAAAGACACUUGCCUCUCGCCCUGGAGUCCCGGGUUUGAUCCCAGAUCGAGGUGCU